rnacentral:rRNA from 1 species
UACGGGGGGGGGCAAGCGUUGUUCGGAAUUACUGGGCGUAAAGGGCUCGUAGGCGGCCAACUAAGUCAGACGUGAAAAUCCCUCGGCUUAACCGGGGAACUGCGUCUGAUACUGGAUGGCUUGAAUCCGGGAGAGGGAUGCGGAAUUCCAGGUGUAGCGGUGAAAUGCGUAGAUAUCUGGAGGAACACCGGUGGCGAAGGCGACAUCCUGGACCGGUAUUGACGCUGAGUGAGCGAAAAGCCAGGGGAGCAAACGGGG